rnacentral:rRNA from 1 species
UACGUAGGGUGCGAGCGUUAAUCGGAAUUACUGGGCGUAAAGCGUACGCAGGCGGCUUUGCAAGACAGAUGUGAAAUCCCCGGGCUCAACCUGGGAACUGCAUUUGUGACUGCAAGGCUAGAGUACGGCAGAGGGGGAUGGAAUUCCGCGUGUAGCAGUGAAAUGCGUAGAUAUGCGGAGGAACACCAAUGGCGAAGGCAAUCCCCUGGGCCUGUACUGACGCUCAUGCACGAAAGCGUGGGGAGCAAACAGG